GAAGUAGGGUGAGAGCGUUGUCCGGAAUUAUUGGGCGUAAAGAGCUUGUAGGCGGUUUGUCGCGUCUGCUGUGAAAAUCCGGGGCUCAACCCCGGACUUGCAGUGGGUACGGGCAGACUAGAGUGUGGUAGGGGAGACUGGAAUUCCUGGUGUAGCGGUGGAAUGCGCAGAUAUCAGGAGGAACACCGAUGGCGAAGGCAGGUCUCUGGGCCACUACUGACGCUGAGAAGCGAAAGCAUGGGGAGCGAACAGG
rnacentral:rRNA from 1 species